AGUGGUGGCACCUCAGCCCCAGGAGGCUGCGAACUUGGGCAGAAGCGAUUUGCAACUUUGUCUCCAUCUCAAAUGCACUCUGGGACGCCGUGACAGUAUCCCUCCCCUCUUACUCCCUCAUCACCUGGGGGCGGCAGGUGCGGGGGUCGUGCCUGGGCCAGCCGCACCACCUCCUCCGGCGAGGAGACCCGAGCCCCUCUGCUUGCUGCAGAACCCGGGGCUGCCGUCACCCUCCCGCCCCGCCAGCCCAGGCGCGCCCCGGGCGCAGCGCCACCCAUGGGUUACCACAAAGGCUGUGGAUGCCAGCUGUGCAGCCACAAAUAUGGCAGACCCACCAUCAGUCUGUACCUUGACAACACUGGAGCUCAGCUCCAGCCAAACCCUGCUGGCCAGCUCAACGACAAUUACAGAAACUGCUGUCUCAUAUAAGUGCUUCAGAUGAAACGAUGUGAAAGAGCAAGAAGUGCCUCAGACCAAGUCCAGGACAAGGGUAGACAGUGUCCAGCCUUGUCCAAGGUCCAAUAACAUGUGGAGACCCUGAGGGAGUGGCAAUCGGGAAUUUGCAGUGUGUGGCUAUUCAUGGUUGGCCCUGAUAGCUCUUGCCACUUACAGGACACCUUAGUCCCCACUCCCAUCGCCUCAUCCCACCCUCUAGCCUUCCAGUCUCCCUG